UACGUAGGUGGCAAGCGUUGUCCGGAAUCACUGGGCGUAAAGCGCGCGCAGGCGGCGAUCUACGUCUGGGGUGAAAGCCCGGAGCUCAACUCCGGGACUGCCUUGGAUACGGGAUCGCUUGAGGAUUGGAGAGGCAAGGGGAAUUCCACGAGUAGCGGUGAAAUGCGUAGAGAUGUGGAGGAACACCUGUGGCGAAGGCGCCUUGCUGGCCAAUUACUGACGCUGAGGCGCGAAAGCGUGGGGAGCAAACAGG
rnacentral:rRNA from 1 species